rnacentral:miRNA from 1 species
UGCAAAAGUAAUUGUGGUUUUUGUCAUUAAAAGUAAUGGCAAAAAACCGCAAUUACUUU